GGCGGCUUAUCGUCCUGCGGCACCUCCCGGUGCGCAGGCAACGGCUACUUCCGCUUCCGACGGGGAGACGCGGGUUCGAAUCCCGCCGCCGCCG
rnacentral:tRNA from 1 species